UCCCCAGGAACCUACUUUUGCUGCAAACAAGCAGAUAUUGUGCAGAGAUACGUGGUCUCUCCUGGAGUCUGAGUGGACUUCUGAGUCUAGCCUGCCUGCCUGCCUGAGCUGCCCUGGGGCCCAGUGCUUCCUUCCAUGGCUGAAUGGGGACUGGUGCUUCCCUCUGCGGCUGUACAACCACUUCCCCUGGGACGCCCGAGCUGGGUGACAGCAGGCUGGUGUCACCUGGAAGCCCCCAUGCAGCUCAGGGACCACUCGGCCCGCUGGCAGCUUACCUUCUCCUCCCCCCCCCCCCCCCCCCCCCAAGAGGCAGGUAGGGAUUGGGUCCCCACCUUUGUGUACAUGCCAUGAGGGUUUAGUUUAGCUUAGUUCUCCCUAUAUUGAAGUGGUCUUUUAGAAAACCCACCAUUUCAAUUUAGGGAGAAUUAAACCCCCAUUGCGUGUACAAGCUGCUAUGUUUCUGUUCAGUUCCUGCAUUCUAGCCGCAGCUGCCCAUCCUCUGCCUCCACGUUGGAGUGGAUUUCAUGAUCUUCAGCUUCCACACAAAGCUGAUUCUGGAAGGGUACCAAGUACCUUUUGUUAUAUGUUGAGCGCCUUGAAUCUCUCUGGCUUUUUUUACAGCCAUGCAUACUGAAGGGGGUCAGUAGCUGAGCUUACCAGGAGGGAGAUGAAUUUCAUUCUAACAAGUGAUAGUCAAUGCUGGUGAGUCAGGAGCCACAUGAGCAGUCAGUGUACCAAGGAGCCACAACAUAUAUGUCCAUAGGGGAACGGUGGCAAACACAUUCCAGCCCCAAAACUGAAAAAGUACAUUAGUUAAGAGAGUUAUGUUGCAUUAUUCAUGAUUCAGGAGAAGCAAGCCCAAUGCAUACUGUCUUUAGAAAAAAAACUUUGAUGUGAUUUUAUGUGAAGAAUUCACAAGUAAUAAGUUGAAGGCUUGGGGGCUGCUGUCCUGGGUAUCAUUGCUCCCAUUGAUUUGGGUGAGGAGAAGUUGAUUUGAUUCCAACUCCCUCAUGUAUUCUGUGUUUUGAAUAUACAGCAAAAUGGACCAUAGAAUCAUAGAAAAUUAGGGUUGGAAGGUACCUGAGAAGGUCAUCUAGUCCAAACCCUUGCAGGCCCACCCCCAACUUUUAAACAUUUAGGAAAAUGUAACUCCUUACCAUUUCAUGUAUUUAUGCAAAUUGAUUUUGGACAUUUUUAUUAAUACUGGACAGCUGCCAAUGGUGUGAUGGCAGAAGGAGCUAGAGUCACGAGGAAGACCUGGGUGCCUAACUGUGACUUUAGGUUCCUAAGUCCAAAAUCUAAAGAAUCCUUGCGUGACCUUAUGAGCAUCUAAGUUUCUGCUAACAAAAGCCCCCUGAUACUUAUGUUUCUGCCCCUGGUCAUGCACAGAGCCAGCUAAACCUUGAUAAUACCAAGUUUUUUGGCACUGAACUCAUGUCUGAGACCCACACAAGCAUGGACUUGUACCUGAUUCUUCCACCUCACAUAUGAAUGGUCCAACCAUUGAGCUUGAAGGUUCAGGCUCUUGCUUGCAUUUUUUUUUCACAUAAUUUACUUUUAUGUGAAGUUAAGCAGCUUUAUUUCAAUUUUUUGAAAAAUGGCAGUUUUUUCAAAUAAGCAUAAAAUUAGUUUUUCUGUAACAAAAUUAGAACGUUUCAUGGUAUUUGAGAAUGGAGUUGUCCAAUGUGCAAAAUGACUGCAAUUAGUCGUGAAUAUGUGAGAACAAUUUAGAAAACAGCCAUUAGCGGUAUAUUCAAAAUCAAACAAUGGUGGGAAUUUUGGACUACAAGAAUAUGUGCGUAUGUUACAAUUUUUAAUGAAAAUUUAUUUCAAGUCUGCCAAAAAAAAUCAGAAUAUUUUUAAAGGUAAACAAUCCUUCUGCUAAAAGUCUAAGAAAACAUUCUAUUUUUCCUCCUGUUUUCAAGUAAAAUAUAUUUGCAGCUCUCCUUGUACAUUUUCCCAGGAGUUUCAAGGGCCUAGAUUUUCAUUUGGUGUACAUCACAUUAGCACUGCUAAAGUAAAGGAGUUGUAUUGAUUUGUACCAGA